CGGAGGGAUCAUUAAAGAGUUCUAUAACUCCCAAACCCAUGUGAACAUACCUAACGUUGCCUCGGCAGGUCGCACCUACCUUGUAGCACCCUACCCUGUAGGGCCUACCCGGGAGGUGCGGGUAAGCCUGCCGGCGGCCCACCAAACUCUGUUUGAUAUUGAAUUCUGAACCUAUAACUAAAUAAGUUAAAACUUUCAACAACGGAUCUCUUGGUUCUGGCAUCGAUGAAGAACGCAGCGAAAUGCGAUAAGUAAUGUGAAUUGCAGAAUUCAGUGAAUCAUCGAAUCUUUGAACGCAUAUUGCGCCCAUUAGUAUUCUAGUGGGCAGGACCGUUCGAGCGUCAUUUCAACCCUUAAGCCUUCGUUGCUUAGUGUUGGGAGCCUACGGCAACGUAGCUCCUCAAAGUUAGUGGCGGAGUUGGUUCACACUCUAGACGUAGUAAUUUUUUAUCUCGCCUAUUAGUUGGACUAAUCCCCUGCCGUAAAACCCCCAAUUUAUCAAGGUUGACCUCGAAUCGGUUCAGACAAACUCGCUAAAUUGAAGCAUCUUAGUCAGCGAAGGAAAAGAAACCAACAGGGAUUGCCCUAGUAACGGCGAGUGAA
rnacentral:rRNA from 1 species